GAUGAACGCUGGCGGCGUGCCUAAUACAUGCAAGUCGAGCGAACGGACGAGAAUCUUGCUUCUCUGAUGUUAGCGGCGGACGGGUGAUUAACACGUGGAUAACCUACCUAUAAGACUGGGAUAACUUCGGGAAACCGGAUCUAAUACCGGAUAAUAUUUUGAACCGCAUGGUUCAACAGUGAAAGACGGUCUUGCUGUCACUUAUAGAUGGAUCCGCGCUGCAUUAGCUAGUUGGUAAGGUAACGGCUUACCAAGGCAACGAUGCAUAGCCGACCUGAGAGGAUGAUCGGCCACACUGGAACUGAGACACGGUCCAGACUCCUACGGGAGGCAGCAGUAGGGAAUCUUCCGCAAUGGGCGAAAGCCUGACGGAGCAACGCCGCGUGAGUGAUGAAGGUCUUCGGAUCGUAAAACUCUGUUAUUAGGGAAGAACAUAUGUGUAAGUAACUGUGCACAUCUUGACGGUACCUAAUCAGAAAGCAACGGCUAACUACGUG
rnacentral:rRNA from 1 species